AGAGUUUGAUCAUGGCUCAGGGUUAACGCUGGCGGCGUGCCUAACACAUGCAAGUCGAACGGUUCUAAGCGCGAGCUUAGGAUAGUGGCGAACGGGUGAGUAAAAGGUAGGAAUCUACCCCUUGGACGGAGAUAGCUACUGGAAACGGUAGGUAAACUUCGAUAAGCCCGAGAGGGGAAAGUGGUGAGACAGCCGAGGGAUGAGCCUACUCUCCAUCAGGUAGUUGGUGAGAUAAAAGCUUACCAAGCCGAUGACGGAUAACCGGUGUGAGAGCAUGAACGGUCACAAGGGCACUGAGAGACGGGCCCUACUCCUACGGGAGGCAGCAGUGGGGAAUCUUGGACAAUGGGCGAAAGCCUGAUCCAGCGACGCCGCGUGGAGGAAGAAGUCCUUCGGGAUGUAAACUUCUGAACUAGCCGAAUAAAAGGCCUGUGGACACACAGGAGAAGAAAGUAGGCUAGGAAAAGUCCCGGCUAACUACGUGCCAGCAGCCGCGGUAAU
rnacentral:rRNA from 1 species